CCUAUUUUUGUUGGGUUAUAUACAUAACGUUGUUUCUAUUCCUUAUAUUAUUCUGUGCAGAAUAAAAAAAUGUUGGUUGUAUCUUGGGAGGAUAGUUGUUAGAGCCUAUCCCACCAAGUGUUGUAUUCCGUGGGGCGGAGUUCUCAUUAAGGAUAAUUACCUUAUGGAUUCCCAAACUGGAACUACCGCUACUGAAAUUAAAGGAGGGCUUGGAGAUGAUGAAGGAUAAGUAUCGCACAGUUAUGGGCGGUUUAUGGUGGACAUUACGAGAUAUCUUAAAAAUGCUCCGUGGAUCCUUCGGCUCGACUACACUUGCUCCUCUGUGGAAAUUGGCGACCACUUUGUCUCCUCCAUUGAGGCUCGCCGUCACCUAAUCUGCACUAUCUUUGCAUCACCAUCUUAGCGGCUGCAACAUCAUUAUCUUCAUGGAGCAGCACUGGUUCAACUCCUACUGCCAUAGAGUGACAAAUCUCCACGAUGGUUCCAACUUUAAUAGUUCUUGAAUUCAUUAUAUCCGGUUGAAACUUCUUCAGAUCUGUCAUAGUUCAAUCAAGUUAUAGAUCCUCAUUCUCUGCUCCUUAUCUGAUCAUUGCUAUGAAAUCAGGGUUAACUCCU